CGGCAGUACACAGCUUAGACUCAAAUCAUCCAAGCAAAUGUGAGAAGAUAGGCCUGCGGUUCUGUAACAAGUGAUUCUCGGUGGUCAAAGAUAACGCUGACUUAAGUUCACGGGUUUACGAAGUGAGAUGGUGAUAGUGAAGAUAACGACAGCUGCCGUCCUGCUGCUGUUAUAACUGAGUUAUAAUUUGCCGGAGUCUACUGCAGAUAUAGAUGUCUUCCAGAGACAUUAUGCUUCCCCUUCCCCCAAUCUUUCACAGAGUGGAAUACUGUGUGUGGUCAGAAUACAGAUGUUCUCAGAAAGGAACAAACCUCUGAAAUGGUUCAAUAACUUAGAAGGUGAGAUUUUCAAAAUGAGAAGAAAAUCAAUAACAGAAAUAAAUGUUAACAUCCAAAAUAACUGUUUGUUGCCAGAUGUAUUUUAUUUUGGGAUAAUUUUGUGAAAAUGUUAUUGUCGGUAAACAGAUAAAGAAA